ensembl:lncRNA
AGAGCAGAACCGCCUCCCCAGCUGUUGCCAUGACAACAGCGAAACGAUCCCGGCGCAUUCCCCGUUGUCUGGCCCGCGGUUACCAGGCAACAGCUACACAAAUCCAGGAAAACAUCCGGAGGAGACCAUCGAUCGUCUCUCCGAUCGGCCGAACGUGGAGCAAACUGCAGGACGAGUUUCCUCAUCAGAACUCCUGGACGGUACAUCCACUGACACCAUGACGACUUGCUCACUUCCGGUGUUAAUAGACGGCAGCGGUUCUCGACCAAAAGUCAAAGUGGAAAACGGAAUAAGAAAGGUUUUUGUAACACAGUCGGACGACAACAGUCACAGACAGAAAGAACAUGUGAGCCAGACACCUGCAGCAACAGAGACUUCAAGGAGACUUCGAGAGGUAGGAGUGCAUACUUUGCAAAGGAGCCUGGUUCUGAAGAAACAGGCAGAGAUGAGUGAAGUGGACAAGCGGCUUGCACUCAAACGGCAAGAGUUUAAGGAGAGUGUGGAGGCUAUGGCUCAGAGAAGGUCUGAGCUGGAGGAAAAACAACAGCAGACUAAAGAAAAAGUGAUGAAAUUUGAGAAGUUUGUGGCUGAAAAUGAACUGAAACGACGUCAAAUGCUGAAGACGUGUGAAGCAACACGGGAGCAGAACAUUUUGAAAAAAAGAGAGAUAGAAGAUUUGACAGAACAACUGAAACAACUUAGAGCCAGAAAGCAAGUAUUAAAGGAGAGAAUGACAAAAUACAAAAUCUAUGAGGACUACCUGAUGAAAACACUAGAAAACUUCCCAGGCCAUUACCUUGAUAACGGGUCUGAAUCUCUGGUGAUGCCCAUCAUCCGCCGCCAUGAGACCCUGUCCAUCACCCACCAGGAGCUGCUGCAGCGUCUGGGCCGGAUGGAGGAGCAGGUGGAGCAGGGCCACCGCCUGCUGCAGAACAUGAAGCAGGAGCACAGCAUAAAGAAGCUGAUGGCCAGCAAAGAAGUGUCUGAACUCCAGAGUGAGUUAGAAACCCUGAAGGAGAAGAACAAGCAGACAGAGGUUAACUUACAGAUGGAGCAGGGCCUAUCCAGAGAGAAGAUUGAGGAAGUGGGCAGAUUACUUAUGGCCAUCAACAACCUUGCAGAACAGUGUUAUAUACCAACAUAUGGACCACUGGAGAGCAUGAAUGUGUUGACAAUGAUGGACAUGGUGAAGGAGUGCAUUCUGGACAAGGCGGACACACAGAGGAGAGUGAGGAGGCUGAUGGAGUCGGGUUCUGCAAUGACAAGUACGACAGCUGCGACAGACAAAAGAGGAAGAGGACCUUUGAAAACCAUCAGAAGUAAAACACAAAUCAAAAGUUCAAGCAAAGUCAGUGGAAAGAGUGAGACAUUUAGCUGAUGUUGUGGUUUUAGUACGUAUCACAGUGUUGGCUCUGACAGUAAUUUCACACAGUUGAGUCUUGACAUAGAAACGUUAAUUUUUGGAUUGAUAUGAAUGUUGAUUUGAAACAGCUAUGCAGCAAAUAUUGCACUUAAAAUGUCAAAUACAGACAGUGAACUGAAUUCAAAUGAGUGAGAGCUGUGUAGAUGUUUAUCACUGUAAUCAUUGUUUCAUUUUAAAAUAAAAUGCUUACGAUCAAAGGAUGUUAUCAGAAAGUACUUAUCCAGACCUAGUAUGCAAAGAUGUGCAUGCAGUUUCCUCAUGUAUUUAAAUUAUACAUACAGCAAUGAGCAACAUAGAC